rnacentral:tRNA from 1 species
GGCUCGGUAGCUCAGUUGGUGAAGCACUUGUCUAGCGUAUAAGGGUCUUGGGUUCAAAUCUUUCCUGAGCUG